UUUGGAUUCGGUGAAUUCACCAAGUGAUGCAGUCACUGCAGUCAAUGGGUCUGGAUUCUCUCCUUCACCCAUUGUCUCAUUCUCCAAAUACUGACCCGUUAGAUCAAUCUUGCGGUCAAAAUCUAUUUUGAUAAUAAAAGCUAGAAAACAAUUCUUUGCCUUUUGACUAAAUCCUAAAUUUGAACCCGUGAAAUAGAUAUCCUCUUCUUGCGAACGAUUCACACAACACCACCAACUUGGGCGGCGCAAGCAGCGGCGCAGCGGUGGGCGAAGCAGCGGCGUUGUGGUCGGAGAUGACGCAGCGACGCCUAUGGUUGGAGAUGACUAGCUGCGAGAGACGACGGGAAGAAAGUGAAAUUAUUGAAGCACAAUGGAGAAAAUUGAUUUUAUUUUUUUCUCCUUUUUGUUUUGAAUUUGUUGACAAAUAAGAAGGAAGAUAGUGAAGAUAUUGAUUUUGUUUCUUUCGUAUUAUACUGAUAAAAUUGCAGAAUGUGCUUAACAAUGAAUAUGCAUGACUCAAUUUCUUGGCUUUGGAUGCACUACUUUGUGGUUUUGGAUGAAGCUUGAAAUUGUUAUCAACCGGUGUAUUGAUGUAGUGUUUUGUUGCUUUGGAAGGGAUAUAGAUUAAUGAUAAGUGGUGAAGUUAGGAACAUUGUACAGUUAUCAUAUUAUAAAAGGGGCCAAUGGUUGUAAAAGGGGCUUGGUUUGGUUUAUGGCUACUCUAUUGUAAAAAUUUCAUAUUGAAUAAAUGAGGUUGUUUUGUUCU